rnacentral:rRNA from 1 species
UACGUAGGGGGCAAGCGUUGUCCGGAAUCAUUGGGCGUAAAGCGCGUGUAGGCGGUUCGGUAAGUCUGCUGUGAAAGUCUAGGGCUCAACCCUGGAAAGCCGGUGGAUACUGUCGGACUAGAGUGCGGAAGAGGCGAGUGGAAUUCCCGGUGUAGCGGUGAAAUGCGCAGAUAUCGGGAGGAACACCAAUUGCGAAGGCAGCUCGCUGGGACGUUACUGACGCUGAGACGCGAAAGCGUGGGGAGCAAACAGG